CAGAGCGUAGCUAAAUUAGUAAAGCAUCUCCCUUACACUGAGAAGCCGUCUGUGCAAAUCAGACCGCCCUGA
rnacentral:tRNA from 1 species